AGCGGCGCGCCUAACACAUGCAAGUCGAGCGAGAAAGGGCUCGGCCCCGGUACAGCGGCGCACGGGUGAGUAACACGUAGGUAAUCUACCCCCCGAAUGGUGGAUAACCCUCCGAAAGGAGGGCUAAUACAGCAUAAGACCACGGCCUCUUCGGAGGCUGAGGCCAAAGCGGGCCUCUUCUUGAAAGCUCGCGUUUGGGGAUGAGCCUGCGGCCCAUCAGCUAGUUGGCGGUGUAAUGGACCACCAAGACUAAGACGGGUAGCUGGUCUGAGAGGAUGAACAGCCACACUGGAACUGAGACACGGUCCAGACUCCUACGGGAGGCAGCAGUGGGGAAUCUUGCGCAAUGGGCGAAAGCCUGACGCAGCGACGCCGCGUGAGUGAUGAAGGGCCCUUCGGGUUGUAAAGCUCUGUGGGGAGAGACGAAUAAGGGCCGACUAACACUCGGCCCGAUGACGGUAUCUCCUUAGCAAGCACCGGCUAACUCUGUGCCAGCAGCUGC
rnacentral:rRNA from 1 species